CCUACGGGGCGCAGCAGGCGCGAAACCUCUGCAAUGCGGGAAACCGUGACAGGGGGAUCCCAAGUGCUCAUGCAUUGCAUGGGCUGUUCUUUGGUCUAAGUAACCAGAGGAGUAAGGGCUGGGCAAGACCGGUGCCAGCCGCCGCGGUAAUACCGGCAGCUCAAGUGGUAGCCGCGAUUAUUGGGCCUAAAACGUUCGUAGCCGGAUAAGUAAGUCUUUGGUUAAAUCCUGCGACUUAACCGUGGGAAAUCUAGAGAUACUGCUUGUCUUGAGACCGAGAGAGGUUGGAGGUACUCCCAGGGUAGGGGUGAAAUCCUGUAAUCCUGGGGGGACCACCUGUGGCGAAGGCGUCCAACUGGAACGGGUCUGACGGUGAGGGACGAAACCUAGGGGAGCGAGCCGGAUUAGAUACCCGGGUAGUCCUAGGCGUAAAUGAUGCGAGUUAAGUGUGGGGGCAUCCACGAGAUGGCCCUGUGCUGUAGGGUAGCCGUUAAACUCGCUGCCUGGGGAGUACGGUCGCAAGGCUGAAACU
rnacentral:rRNA from 1 species